rnacentral:tRNA from 1 species
GCCGAGGUGGCGAAAUUGGCAGACGCUCAGGACUUAAAAUCCUGUGGCCCUGACGGGCCGUGUGGGUUCGAUCCCCACCCUCGGUACCA